rnacentral:lncRNA from 1 species
AAUUCCCCUAUAACUGGUAAUCUUUCUUCUGCCUUGAGCUGGCCAAGUACAGACUUUGUAGGUCUGCAGGGUGCAGCCCAACACAGAGCAUGAUUGGCUAGGCUAGGAGGUCAAGCAUUUCCUCAAAAUGCUUGCUAGCAGUUUUUAGGUUCUGGGACCUGUCUCAAGUGUGAAAUAAUAAAUUUAAAAGUUAAAAGGCCUCCGUGGUGCAAGGGCUAGCAGUUGUCUCUGAUGAGAAGACUCUUGACAAUGGCAGCAGAGGACAACCCUCAAUACAACAUUGUUUGGAGGCUGCUUGAGGAAUCAUGUGACAGUGAAAAGCAUGCUUUGCAAACUAAGUUAUUAAAACGAUCAUACGGUAUAUCUCUAUCACUAAAAAACAAUCUUGAUGCUGUCAUUUCUGUGUCUAUAUGAGAGGAAUAUGGGAGAAAAAAGUCAAUGCCUGGGUGUAAUUUUCAUAGACAAUUGGAAAUCUUUGUUUCCCUGUGUUUGAAACAACAUGCUUUUUCUCCUGGUGAAAGGGUAUGACAGAUUACCUACGCACACUUUCAAACAACUGAUGUGUAUUUCAGAGCUGUAUCACCUACAGUUUCUCCUAAUAAUGAAAGAAAAAAUCUGCAGCUGUGUAACAAGCA